UCCCUGGUGGCUCAGCUGGUAAAGAAUCUGCCUGCAAUGCAGAAGACCUGGGUUCGAUCCCUGGGUUGGGAA
rnacentral:tRNA from 1 species